GCUCGGUUGAUCUAGUUGGUUAUGAUGUGGACCUAAUACGACUCUGUGUUUUAGUCCAAUGUCGGCGGUUCGAUCCCGCCACUGAGCA
rnacentral:tRNA from 1 species